GGCGGAUUAGCCAAGGUCGAUCGG
rnacentral:tRNA from 1 species